rfam:Kluyvera intestini strain GT-16 tig00000000, whole genome shotgun sequence.
AACCGACAUCAGCGAUUCGUUUUGUGAGCCUGCGCCAACCGCGAGGUAAGAGUGCAUCCCCAGCUCGCGCAUCUGCUGCUCACCGAUUACGCGGGUGAUGACAUUUUUGCUGUAUGAGUCCGCCAGUUGACGCGCCUGAGAAGCCAGAUAGGCCGCAUUACAGAUGUUCGGCGGCAUGUUGCCGAGAUCUUUCGC